UGGUAGACAGACCAUUCUCCUAAGGGGCCA
rnacentral:piRNA from 1 species